GACGAACGCUGGCGGCGUGCUUAACACAUGCAAGUCGAACGAAGAGCGAUGGAAGCUUGCUUCUAUCAAUCUUAGUGGCGAACGGGUGAGUAACGCGUAAUCAACCUGCCCUUCAGAGGGGGACAACAGUUGGAAACGACUGCUAAUACCGCAUACGAUCUAACCUCGGCAUCGAGGAUAGAUGAAAGGUGGCCUCUACAUGUAAGCUAUCACUGCAGGAGGGGGUUGCGUCUGAUUAGCUAGUUGGAGGGGUAACGGCCCACCAAGGCGAUGAUCAGUAGCCGGUCUGAGAGGAUGAACGGCCACAUUGGGACUGAGACACGGCCCAGACUCCUACGGGAGGCAGCAGUGGGGAAUCUUCCGCAAUGGACGAAAGUCUGACGGAGCAACGCCGCGUGAGUGAUGACGGCCUUCGGGUUGUAAAGCUCGGUUAAUCGGGACGAAAGGCCUUCUUGCGAAUAGUUAGAAGGAUUGACGGUACCGGAAUAGAAAGCCACGGCUAACUACGUG
rnacentral:rRNA from 1 species